rnacentral:rRNA from 1 species
GGACUACAGGGGUUUCUAAUCCCGUUCGCUCCCCUGGCUUUCGCGCCUCAGCGUCAGCAGAGGUCCAGCACGCCGCUUUCGCCACCGGCGUUCCUUCCGAUAUCAACGCAUUUCACCGCUCCACCGGAAGUUCCGCAUGCCCCUACCUCCCUCCAGGCAGCCAGUAUCCAAGGCCCUUUUCCGGUUGAGCCGAAAGAUUUCACCCCGGACUCGACUGCCCGCCUACGCGCCCUUUAAGCCCAGUGAUUCCGAACAACGUUCGCACGGUUCGUCUUACCGCGGCUGCUGGCAC